UGGAGGCGCGUGGUUUCGCACGGUGUCAUUGGCGCGUGAGGAAACAGCAACGCACGAUCACACGGGAUGACCCACAUGCUCCAUCUCCCAUGUUACUGUACGCAAAGUAACUAAAACCCUUGACCAAUAUUGCUCACAUUUAAAACUUAUAACAUGUUAAACUAAAGUUAGAGAUAAAGGCAAAGCACAAACGUUACUGGAGGAAUAAAAAGAAAGGAAUAGCUUUGAAAAUGUCAUUGUUCAUAAAAGUAGAAACCAUGAUGAUGUUGUUCAUAUGUAAAUAUUCACCUCACAUGUAUAUGAUUGGUUUAUAACCUUUGAUUGCC
rnacentral:lncRNA from 1 species